rnacentral:rRNA from 1 species
AACGUAGGAGACAAACGUUAUCCGGAGUUACUGGGCGUAAAGGGCGUGUAGGUGGUUGCGUAAGUCUGGCGUGAAAUUUUUCGGCUUAACCGGGAAAGGUCGUCGGAUACUGCGUAGCUAGAGGACGGUAGAGGCGUGUGGAAUUCCGGGUGUAGUGGUGAAAUGCGUAGAGAUCAUGAGGAAGACCAGUGGCGAAGGCGGGUCUCUGGACAGUUCCUGACACUGAGACACG